CCUACGGGAGGCAGCAGUGGGGAAUAUUGCACAAUGGGCGCAAGCCUGAUGCAGCAACGCCGCGUGAGGGAUGACGGCCUUCGGGUUGUAAACCUCUUUUAGUAGGGAAGAAGCGAAAGUGACGGUACCUGCAGAAAAAGCACCGGCUAACUACGUGCCAGCAGCCGCGGUAAUACGUAGGGUGCGAGCGUUGUCCGGAAUUAUUGGGCGUAAAGAGCUCGUAGGCGGUCUGUCGCGUCUGCUGUGAAAACCCGAGGCUCAACCUCGGGCCUGCAGUGGGUACGGGCAGACUAGAGUGCGGUAGGGGAGAAUGGAAUUCCUGGUGUAGCGGUGGAAUGCGCAGAUAUCAGGAGGAACACCGAUGGCGAAGGCAGUUCUCUGGGCCGUAACUGACGCUGAGGAGCGAAAGCGUGGGGAGCGAACAGGAUUAGAUACCCUAG
rnacentral:rRNA from 1 species